GGCUCAGGAGACCUGGGUUCAAAUCCCUCCUUGGCCUCCAAAACUUUCUGGAGAAUAGCAAAGAUGGUCAUGAGGAAUGCCAGACAACAGGAGAGUGCAGGUUUUUGAACGAGGAGUCAGUCAUUCAGCCAAGAAAGAAGGACAAUCAACAAUAUCGAAGGUUGUGUGGCAGUUUGAACAAGCCAUGGACAAUGUGAAGAAAACCGUCCAGAGAACCUCAGAAAGGAACCUACUUUCUAGAAUUAAUGUGCAGCCAUGUUAGUUUCUGAAAGGUCUCUGAAGAGUGUCGUGAGCCCUCUUGAACACAAACCACAGUGGACUUGCCAGAAAGAUGGAACUGAACAUCAGAAACCAUUUUGCACAAACUGUUAUUAGCCUCUGUGUGGCCAUCUCUGCUCUCACUCUGCCCCAGGAUCCUGUUCCCUCUCAGCAGAUCCCUCCCUCCCCAGGAGUCUGACUUGCUGUGGCUCCCAGAGCCCCAGUCCUUAUCAAUACCUGGAACCAGAGCCCCUUCCUCUAAUUGGGAAACCAAGAGGGACAUGCCCAGGGAUGCAACGAUCCAGAUUGGCAGAUCUCUCCGAGCCCUCCCCCAGCCCCCAUAUCCCACCCCUGUGAGCCUCAUCCCAUCCCCCCACCUGUGGACCCCCAGACACCCUCACCCGACGGCUGUAGCUGCUGGGCUCCUGUGAG